rnacentral:rRNA from 1 species
UUGGAGGGCAAGUCUGGUGCCAGCAGCCGCGGUAAUUCCAGCUCCAAUAGCGUAUAUUAAAGUUGUUGCAGUUAAAAAGCUCGUAGUUGAACUUCGGGGUUUACCCAUUGGUCAGGCUUAAUUGUCUGCACUGGUGAGAUGAAUCUCUACCUUCUGAGGAACUUUCAUGCCAUUUAUUUGGUGUGAUGGGAAAUCAGGACUGUUACUUUGAAAAAAUUAGAGUGUUUAAAGCAGGCUAACGUCUGAAUACAUUAGCAUGGAAUAAUGAAAUAGGACGGACUGAUUCUAUUUCGUUGGUUUCUAGGACCACCGUAAUGAUUAAUAGGGAUAGUUGGGGGCAUUAGUAUUCAAUUGUCAGAGGUGAAAUUCUUGGAUUUAUUGAAGACUAACUACUGCGAAAGCAUUUGCCAAGGAUGUUUUCAUUAAUCAAGAACGAAAGUUAGGGGAUCGAAGACGAUCAGAUACCGUCGUAGUCUUAACCAUAAACUAUGCCGACUAGGGAUCGGACGAAGUUAAUUUUAUAAUGACGCGUUCGGCACCUUACGGGAAACCAAAGUGUUUGGGUUC